AGAAAAACCUAAACUCUGAUGACAACAAUAAUUAUCCGUCAACUUUUCUUCUUCGUCGUUUGGAAUCACUGCAAUUCACCGUUAUCACGCACAACCCACACUCCCUCAUUCAAUUAUGUUCUUAACUCAUUCCUUGAUGGUUUCGUUUCAACUUCCUCUCUUUCUCCUCCUUUAUAAAAUUACCUCAUCGAAUUUUCCAUCCAAGCAAACUCUACAAUCUCCAUAGAAAAAAAUCAGGCAAUUUCUUUUUAUCAAGACCCCUCAGCUACGUUCUGUUUUUAAGAAUCCGGUUUUGGUUUCGCUGGGCUAUAUCUCAUUAUGUGGAUGCAUUGUGAAAUGGGGAUUCAUUCAAAUUUUAAAGUUUUGGGCAAGCAAAUCCAUCUCUCUGAACCUGAAAGCAACAAGGAUGGGGAUGAUAAAAAUGAGAACACAACCAAGAAGUCAGGACAGGGAAUGUGAAAAAAUCAUCACGGCAGCAACGGACGUGGAAACUUACCAUCAAGCUCAUCACUUUUCCAUGAAAUAGAAUCUCCAUCAACAUCCGGUGGAGGUCUAAAAGAUAUUGUCCGUCCCGAGAAAGCCUGAUGGGACGCGAGUGUACACAAUGGGGCGUGGGAAACCGCUUUCUUCUCAGACGAAGUUUAAUCAGUUUCUCAUCUAUUAACCGAGAUGUGUAGGAUUUGGGUUUCCUUUAUGCACUCUAAAAGUAUCGGAAUCCUC